rnacentral:tmRNA from 2 species
GGGGAUGUACUGGUUUCGACGGGGUUUUCAAAGCCGGAGAAGCGAGCCGCAUGAAAUGCGUUAAAUUUCAAACCUAAAUAUAAACGCUAAAAAAGAUACAAAAUUAGCAUUAGCUGCAGCUUAAUUGCAGCUUGUCUGACCUGAGGCACCUGCACCUCAGUGCUCGGGCAUCGACUAUGCAGGAAACGACUUAUGCAAAGCUUUGCGUAUAAGGGCGUAAUAUGAAGCUACUGAAACCAAAAACCCGUUUCCGGGUGUUUGGCGGAGGGAAUGUAAAAACGGGAACUACGCUCGUAGAAGGACGGUGGACAGAAUUUCGGACAGGGGUUCGAUUCCCCUCAUCUCCACCA